ensembl:lncRNA
GGCGCGCGUCGGCGUCGCCCUCCUCCCAUUGAGCGAGACUGUGUCGCGUGGCCCAGCGUCGGCGUGACGGUUGGACGCGGGCGCGGCACUGCGGGUCCCGAUUGCUGCAGCCGCUUGUCAGUGUGAUGAAGAUUGGCACCCAGAUUGAUACAGAGCCCCUGUUUGAAUUUCCUGAGCCAUACAGCAAAUUCCCGUUGGCUAUCUAUUUUGCACAUGGAGACACAGAUUCAGUGCCUGAUCCGGGAAGAUACCCACAUACCUUGGAACAGCUAAGCCGUGUGCUGCAGCUGCUGGGCCUGUGCUCUAGGAUGGCAGCUGCUGAAGCCCAAGCACUGCAGAGCCCGUGCUCCGCAACAGGAGGAGCCACCGCAACACGAAGCCUGCACACCGCAGCUGGAGAGUAGCCCCCACUCGCUCCAACUAGAGAAAAGCCUGCACAGCAGUGAAGACACGUCACAGCCAAUAAACAAAAUUAUUUUUAAAAAUAAAAAAAUAAAAUCAGUGUUUAUUGAGGCUACAGGCCUGUUUUUUUCUCUAUGCUUUUAUGUACAAUUUUUAUUAUUCUCUUAUCAGUUUAGUCAGUUUUGAUCUUUCACCUACAAGAC